AUACGUAGGUGACAAGCGUUAUCCGGAUUUACUGGGCGUAAAGGGCGUGUAGGCGGUCUUGCAAGUCAGAAGUGAAAUUCCUGAGCUCAACUCGGGCGCUGCUUCUGAAACUGCAGGACUUGAGUGCUGGAGGGGAUAGCGGAAUUCCUAGUGUAGCGGUGAAAUGCGUAGAGAUUGGGAGGAACACCAGUGGCGAAGGCGACGUACUGGACUGUAACUGACGCUGAGGCGCGAAAGUGUGGGGAGCAAACAGGAUUAGAUACCCUGGUAGUCCACACAGUAAACGAUGAUGGCUAACCGCUGGGCUUAUCAGUUCAGUGGCCAAGCGAAAGCGAUAAGCCAUCCACCUGGGGAGUACGACCGCAAGGUUGAAACUCAAAUGAAUUGGCGGGG
rnacentral:rRNA from 1 species